AAAAUGUGUUGUCUUGAUAAUUACAUGUUUACAGUACGUCACCGUGUUGGUUUCCUGUUUCUCUUAUUUCUGUAUCCAUAGGCGAAUGGGAAAGAAGGGAAGCAGCAGAGGAAACAUCGAUACUCUGACAGACCAGCCUAGGUUUCCCUCUGUGUGUGACACACUCUUAUUGAUUCACACACAAACAAGUCAAAGAGGUCUAAUCCCUUCCCUGACGACAGGUUAUAUCAGCUAAGGCCUCCUGUGACUCCACCAGCUGACAAAUCAAAUCCAAAUCAAUCUGGAGGAGGAAAAAGUGACUGUAUCACGGUGACUGUUAGGGGCAGCUGGCACGGUACAGCCUGCCAGGAUGCCGUGGCAGAGGCCGUGGCAGUGUCUGGUCCAGGAGCCCGAGGCCUGCAGCUAAUACCAGUCAAAUCAUAUGACGCCUACAGUGUGACACGAGUGUGAGGAGCUCCGAUCGGAGCUGCAGCAACCUGGCAUGCGCAUGUAUAUGGGUGUAGGUGUUGGUCAUGUGGUGUUUUGGAAAGUAGUUUUACUGUGAGAGUGGUUGUUUUGGUACACACUAAAUGAAAUACUGUAUGGAUGGGAUAAACUGACAUUUUCUAUAAACAAACGUUUGUUGGGGGGGGCAUGAUAAUAGUUGGAUGUACUCCUGCUUUUAUGUGAUGCUGUAACUGAUGCUGUCACAUAUUUACACUAAGUGUUAUGCAUUUAUUAUGUGUUAUAUUCAAGUCUGUGUUCUGUGUUUUACCUGCCCGCCAGAUAAAUUCCCCUCUGGGACAAUACGGAUGAAGUUGAUGCUGAAGUGCAUAAACAGCCGACAGCUUGGAGCUGAGGUUUAUUAUUUUUACCACCCACGUUAAAGCCUCUUUUUUCACUAAUAAAAAAUAAAAAAAAUAGUGAAUAAGUAACAUGAAGGCAGGAGAUGAUUCAGGACGUGGUUUUAUAAAUCAAACUGCAAGUCAACCCAGAGCAGGAACGCAGCUAGCUAGGGGGUGCUUUAGCCUCGUCACAAAUCUGCGUAGCCCCAGAUAAGCAUUUUAGUUUUUUUUUUGUUUUGAAUAAAAAAAUAUGUAAAAGUUAAUUAACAGCUCAUUGGAUCCCAAUACAAUACCUGGCUGCGUGCUCGUGCCACCCGUGUACCCUAUGACGUGUGUGUGUGUGGGCUGAAUGUUAUUCAUUUCCUUUCUGACAUAGUGAUAGCCAUUUCAUCUGAAACAUUAUUAACAAUGCACAGUUGUCUGAUUAUGCAAAUGGAAUAAAUUAACUUCUUGUUGUUAUUGUCACAUCUUGGAUGUAUUGUGCUGUUAUUAAUUGUGGCUGCAUGGGUGUUGUCCGGUGCUGAAGUCUUUCACCUUUGAACAUUAAAGAUGUUUUGUCAUA